UGACUCAUUAUCUUUUAUAUAAAGAGGUAUAGCACAAUCCACAAUGGUUGAUUGAAGUAUAAGUGACACAAACUGCGUUGAAUUAGUCUUAAUUCAAAUUUAACUAGAUAAUGUUAUUGUUACAAGUGAUAACAAAAAGCAGAAAAAGCUAAAGACAGAAAAGAUAGAAACUAAAAGAAUGAAAGAACUAAACAGCACGAGGGAAGCAAGUUUCCAUCUCAUCCCCUAACAACGGAUUCAGCAUGCCAUGCGGGACUUCAUGAGUGACAGUAAAGUUGGCAUCUUCAUUUGCACCAAGCUUAGCGAUUAAAUCAGCACACUGGUUCCCUUCACGCAGGGUAUGACAAAGCUGAAAAGUCCAAGGAAGAAGGAAAUUCUAUUUCUUAUUUCAGAACAAUAAGCUUAUAAAUAGCUACAACAAUUGAAGAAUUAAAAAAUUGUAGUAACAAAUAACAAACAUGAUAAUUGAUUCAAAUCAACUCUUUUUUUUUUUUUUUAAUUUCAACUUGAGAUUAUCCUUUCUUAUAAAAAAAAGUUAAUAAAAAAUAAUGAAAUAAAGUAAAAAAAAAAAUAGUUUUCUAAGAAAACAUUCCGAAAGACCUUAAAAAUAGCCAUAGAAAAAUAGUAAAAAUAUAACAAAACACAACACACGUAUCCCCCAAAUAUGUCCUUUCUGGCAAUCACGCAUGCUAAGCAGAUACCCAGCAUAAAGUUGAGAGUAAGAGCAAAAAAUAAAACAUAUACCCUGAAGUAAAUAUCGUACGUUAUCUCUUAAGGAAUAUUAAUAUUAUCGGUUUAUCAUGCAUAUAUCGAAUUCAUAAAAUCCGGCACCUUUGAAUAUAUUCAACUUGCAUCCACCUAAGGAAAUAAAGAAAGAAAAUGUUCUAGAGCCUGCCAGGCCUACUUGAUGCCUUGAAUUGAUGGAUACGGACGACUAUGCAUUAUUUAUUUUUUCAAAAGGAAAAAAGAAAUAAAGGAACACUUGCUUAUUUAUAGUCGGAUUAUCAUAAAAUAGAAACCAACAAAUAAUAUAUAUUCAUCGGUAUUAAGAUUAAGAAUAUUUGGGAUGCUACCAAAUCCUGCCAUAUAAUUGGAUCGGAUAUUGCUUCAUUAGAGAUAAGUGUUCAUGGAGUUAAGAAUAUACUAUUUAUAAUUUUGUCGGAAAAAAAUAUAUACUAUUUAAAAUCAAAUCAUUAUAAUUGGCUUCUUCGAAAAUUUUAAAUAUUUACAAUAGCUCGACCAUGCUGAGUUAUAAUAUUUAUAUAGUCAACUAGUUAUAUCUGUAACCAAACUUUGAUCAUUGUUCAUAUAUAUGGCUAUUUAUUCAUUUUCUUUAGCGGCAAGUUAGCCGUCUUUGACCCUUUUGAAGACAAGUGUGUAGUUCCAUAAUUCAAUCUCCAGAAAAGAACCACUCUGGAGUAUGAACAAUGAUACGAAGCCAAGGAAUUAAGAUUUAUAAAGGAGAAGAAAACGAUAUAUGUCAGUGUUUUAUUAGGUAUAUAUAGGGACGCUAAAAAAAACUAGUUUUAAAAAAAUAACUAGCUAGUAAUAUAAAAAUAGGUAUAAAAUUAUAAUCAAUUUUAUAGUUAUAGAUUUUUUAAAUAUUUUUCUAUUUAAUAAUAGUUAUAGUAAUAAAAUUAUAACUAGUUUUAUAGAAAUGAUUAUUUUAAAUUUUUAUUUUUAUUUAUCCAUAACUAUAAUUGAUUUUAGAUAUAACUUAUUAUAUGAUUGAUAAUAUAACUAGUUUCUUCAUAAGUAAUUAUAUAUGCAUAUUUUAAAUAUCAAAUUAUAUUCAUAUUUUGAAAACUAAUUAUAAUUAUAGUUAUAAUAUUUACUUAUAAUCUAAUUACUUGUUAGAUAUAAUUAUAGGUAUAUAAAUACUCAAAUGAUGAGCAUUCCUAUGUAUAUGUCGUUUUCCUUUGCAUAUCAAUGACCGGAUAUAAUCUGAUUAACGAUAAUCACAACUCACCAAGUUGCACAGAUAAAUUAGGCUCUCACCUUUGCAAUUAUAUAUCGAACAAGUUACGAUCCAAGUGGCAUAUAUACUGGCUUGUCUUUGAUUUCAAUGUUAUUUUUAGUUGUUUGUACAAAAGAUGAUUGUUG
rnacentral:lncRNA from 1 species